rnacentral:rRNA from 1 species
AUUGAACGCUGGCGGCAUGCUUUACACAUGCAAGUCGAACGGUAACAGGCCGCAAGGUGCUGACGAGUGGCGAACGGGUGAGUAAUGCAUCGGAACGUGCCCAGUCGUGGGGGGAUAACGCAGCGAAAGCUGUGCUAAUACCGCAUACGAUCUAUGGAUGAAAGCGGGGGGACCGUAAGGCCUCGCGCGAUUGGAGCGGCCGAUGUCAGAUUAGGUAGUUGGUGGGGUAAAGGCCCACCAAGCCAACGAUCUGUAGCUGGUCUGAGAGGACGACCAGCCACACUGGGACUGAGACACGGCCCAGACUCCUACGGGAGGCAGCAGUGGGGAAUUUUGGACAAUGGGCGCAAGCCUGAUCCAGCAAUGCCGCGUGCAGGAAGAAGGCCUUCGGGUUGUAAACUGCUUUGUACGGAACGAAACGGUCUGGGUUAAUACCCUGGGCUAAUGACGGUACCGUAAGAAUAAGACACCGGCUAACUACGUGCCAGCAGCCGCGGUAA